rnacentral:rRNA from 1 species
UACGAAGGGUGCAAGCGUUACUCGGAAUUACUGGGCGUAAAGCGUGCGUAGGUGGUUCGUUAAGUCUGAUGUGAAAGCCCUGGGCUCAACCUGGGAAUGGCAUUGGAUACUGGCGACCUAGAGUGCGGUAGAGGGGUGUGGAAUUCCCGGUGUAGCAGUGAAAUGCGUAGAUAUCGGGAGGAACAUCUGUGGCGAAGGCGACACCCGGGACCAGCACUGACACUGAGGCACGAAAGCGUGGGGAGCAAACAGG